rnacentral:rRNA from 1 species
UGGGGAAUAUUGGACAAUGGGCGCAAGCCUGAUCCAGCCAUGCCGCGUGAGUGAUGAAGGCCUUAGGGUUGUAAAGCUCUUUCGCCGGUGAAGAUAAUGACGGUAACCGGAGAAGAAGCCCCGGCUAACUUCGUGCCAGCAGCCGCGGUAAUACGAAGGGGGCUAGCGUUGCUCGGAAUCACUGGGCGUAAAGCGCACGUAGGCGGAUCGUUAAGUCAGGGAUGAAAUCCUGGAGCUCAACUCCAGAACUGCCCUUGAUACUGGCGAUCUCGAGUUCGAGAGAGGUUGGUGGAACUCCGAGUGUAGAGGUGAAAUUCGUAGAUAUUCGGAAGAACACCAGUGGCGAAGGCGGCCAACUGGCUCGAUACUGACGCUGAGGUGCGAAAGCGUGGGGAGCAAAACAGGAUUAGAUACCCUGGUAGUCCACGCCGUAAACGAUGGAUGCUAGCCGUUGGGGGGUUUACCUCUCAGUGGCGCAGCUAACGCCUUAAGCAUCCCGCCUGGGGAGUACGGUCGCAAGAUUAAAACUUAAAUGAAUUGACGGGGUCAUAGCUGUUUCCU